rnacentral:rRNA from 1 species
UACGGAGGAUGCAAGCGUUAUCCGGAAUGAUUGGGCGUAAAGCGUCCGCAGGUGGCUAUGUAAGUCUGCUGUUAAAGAGUGAGGCUCAACCUCAUAAGAGCAGUGGAAACUACAGGGCUAGAGUGCGUUCGGGGCAGAGGGAAUUCCUGGUGUAGCGGUGAAAUGCGUAGAGAUCAGGAAGAACACCGGUGGCGAAAGCGCUCUGCUAGGCCGCAACUGACACUCAUGGACGAAAGCUAGGGGAGCGAAUGGG